UAGAGAUUUUGUUAGACCCCUAGAUGUAGU
rnacentral:piRNA from 1 species